GUCACACGCACAGUACUGCAGGACUGGAGACACAGGCAUGCGCUGGAGUCGGUACCAACAGCUGUCUAUCACUGACAGCCUGCAACAACAAUUUUGGUGAAGCUCAUGGUCCCCCAGUAAUAGCCCUUUAUACAGCCUUUUCGGUGGCCCCCCUGGGACAGCAGGGCCCCUGGAACCAACAGCCACUUUGGUUGCCCAACGACCCCAAUCUUGAUACAGGAACUCGCCAGUUGCAACCCAAAGAUUGAGUGGUCAUUCGAAAACACGCUAGAAAAGCUCUUGAAGCCCCAGAGCCCUGAUUCAGUGAUACAGUCACACCUUAUGGUAGCAAAGACACUGGGAGUGGAAAUCUGCUGGAUCUGCACACAUUCACAUGUCAAAUUACCAGAAUGCCUGAUGUUUGCCAGUACCUACUGUAUGCAGAAGUUGGACCACAAUCCAAUGACUACCAAUGUGUUGCCUUCAAAAGAACUGUAGAGUCUGUGGCGAGAUCUUAUUAGAUGCAGAUACAUCUACUUGCAAGCAAUGCAGAGUGAUCAUCAUCUCCCUAUGUGUCGCUAACUCUGAUGAUUUUCAACCAGACAUCUAGAUGAAAGGAUCGCGUGCACGCUCUAAAAUGGGGGAUAGGUGUUCACUCUCUAAGAAGGGUUUCCUUACACAUACGGACUCGUGUAUAUGCACCUGUUUUAGGCUAGAAAGGUUAUGAAACUCCUAAACACUUUAAUUAGUUGUGUUAUGAAUAAAAGACAGGAGUGAUAAAUCUAAGAUAAGUAUUGCCCAUACAGACUCCAUCUUGGAAAGGCAAAACAUGUUAUUUUAUACAAUACACCUUUUAGUAUUCAAAACACAAGAAAUAGUCUCAAGUAACCAAGUAGAUCAUUUUUGUUAACUUCAUAGUAUUGGAAUGCCUAUUACCUUCACGACACCCAGAAAUAAUGAGAGGAUAGAUAAGGAGGUGUUCACCAGAUGUAGAAUGAUGAACCCCACCCUACAGCUCACACAAAUCUUAGAAGUAGCAAGAAUAUAAGAGAUUUUCUAUAUAAUGAGCCUUUUGUAUCCAAUUAAUUGUAUGACUCACAAAUAUUAUUCUACAUAUGAACCUGUUUGUUAAGAAAGAAUAUAAUGCUUAACGCCAUGAAAAAUAAACCAGA